rnacentral:ncRNA from 1 species
GGAAGCCGGGUUACGGUGCCCAACUGCGCGCUAACCUAGAACCCACAAAGGGUGUUGGUCGAUUAAGACAGCAGGACGGUGGUCAUGGAAGUCGAAAUCCGCUAAGGAGUGUGUAACAACUCACCUGCCGAAUCAACUAGCCCCGAAAAUGGAUGGCGCUGAAGCGGGCCACCCACACCCGGCCAUCUGGGCGAGCGCCAUGCCCCGAUGAGUAGGAGGGCGCGGC